MGAGUUGUUGCUGGUCCUCAAUGGGGGCAUGUGCACGCUCUGUUUACACAUCCACUCACACCUGUGCACCCUCUGUAGUUCUAUGGCAUGGGGGACUCUGUCCUCCUGCUGUGGUUCUAUGCUUUUACACACACACUGUGAUUAUAGUCUCACGGGAGGUGUACAGCGUUUAAAGCGAUAUAAUACACCUUUCUCCACCGGAUAUCUUGUGUCUCUCAUCUCUAAAAARCGCACCGAAAUGCGAUAUAAAGAGUGAGUUGCGCAAAUCUCUGAGUCUCCUCAUCUCUGUGCACGCCUUGCGCGCUUUKGUAUACCGAGGGGGUGCGUGUUUGAGAAUAUGAGCACAUCACACUCACGGGUUGCGAUGAGAAGAUUUGCAUUGGGGGCUCGCGCUC
rnacentral:misc_RNA from 1 species